UUAUAUUUCUUUGACAGGAAUGUUAGGUUCAGUAAUUUGUUGAUAGUCCCUAAGUGAACCUUCGGGCGCUGCGGCCGGGAGCGGUGGAGAACCGCUGGCCGAGAGUAGCGUUCCGAAAUCGGAUCAACUUUCAGCUAAACGUCGGUUACUCCGCGGAGCUCGGGCCGGGAGCGGUGGAGAACCGCUGGCCGACAGUAGCGUUCAUAAAUCGGAUCAACCUUGAGCUAAACGCCGCUUACUCCGCGGAGCUCGAAUAUCGAAUAUCCAACUUGAAACUAACUUCACUGCGGUAAACGCCAUGACAUCGGACCGACAUGGGCGUAAAUUAAAGAGGCGAUUCAGCAAAACCACGGUGGAUCAACAAGUUACAGAGACUGUGUUUUCAUGAUUUACCUCUUCUGGGGUAAAUCAUGAAAACACAGCAGCGGAGGCUGUAGAAGAGGAGCAAGUUGGAGAGGCUGAGGAGGAAACACCAGGAGAGAAGCUCAGCAAGGCUGCAGACUCUGAAGAGGAACAGGAACCAUUUGGGUUGAAAUGUGUGUUCAGUUAGAAGUGGCUGUUUUCUCUCAUUUAAUCGUUUAAUGUGGUAAAACAUUCAUGAAACGUUUGAUUCAAGUUGCACGUAAACAGGUGAUGAAAUGAAUCACAUUUCAAGUAAAAAUGUGAUAUCUAAAAUGUUUCAGGUAAUAAACAUAGGUGUAAUGAAAGAUUAUAUUUUAAAUAAACAUUUUAUGUGAAUAAAGUAAACAAUUAUAUUCAA